rnacentral:rRNA from 1 species
GACGAACGCUGGCGGCGUGCUUAACACAUGCAAGUCGAGCGAUGAAGCUCCUUCGGGAGUGGAUUAGCGGCGGACGGGUGAGUAACACGUGGGUAACCUGCCUCAUAGAGGGGAAUAGCCUUCCGAAAGGAAGAUUAAUACCGCAUAACAUUGCAGUACCGCAUGGUACAGCAAUUAAAGGAGCAAUCCGCUAUGAGAUGGACCCGCGUCGCAUUAGCUAGUUGGUGAGGUAACGGCUCACCAAGGCGACGAUGCGUAGCCGACCUGAGAGGGUGAUCGGCCACAUUGGGACUGAGACACGGCCCAGACUCCUACGGGAGGCAGCAGUGGGGAAUAUUGCACAAUGGGGGAAACCCUGAUGCAGCAACGCCGCGUGAGUGAUGACGGUCUUCGGAUUGUAAAACUCUGUCUUUGGGGACGAUAAUGACGGUACCCAAGGAGGAAGCCACGGCUAACUACGUGCCAGCAGCCGCCGUAAAAC